UACGUAGGGGGCAAGCGUUGUCCGGAUUUAUUGGGCGUAAAGAGCGUGUAGGCGGUCAGGUAGGUCCGUUGUGAAAACUCGAGGCUCAACCUCGGGUCUGCAGUCGAUACGGGCAAACUAGAGUAUUGCAGGGGAGACUGGAAUUCCUGGUGUAGCGGUGAAAUGCGCAGAUAUCAGGAGGAACACCGGUGGCGAAGGCGGGUCUCUGGGCAAUAACUGACGCUGAGGAGCGAAAGCGUGGGGAGCGAACAGG
rnacentral:rRNA from 1 species